GAGUACAAGAAAGAAGAACGACAGUAGCCACUGAGGAUUCGUGAAGCCUUUACUAACCGCAGCAAAGAUCUGUCCCAUUUCGGAAAGGUGAUUGAGAACUUAAAUAAAAUAAGGGAGCAAGAAGAGUUGGAAGAUUGCAUGAGUACCGAAGGGGUCCCAGAUGAGGGGGUGUCAAAUGCUGAUGAUGAUGGAGGAAAGCACGAGGAUGGUAAGAAAGAGGAGAAUGAGGACGCAGCCGAGGUCCAAAGCGCUGCAAAGCCGGACACGGAGGAGGACGAGGAAGAUGAACUGUCGAGAUAUAGCCAAGUUAUGAGUCACCUGAAAUGGCUGUAAAGCAAUUAUUUUUUGUAUUCAGGAUAUAAUUUGGU